AGUAGGGUUGGUGUACUUAUAAAGUACUAUCAGCAUGUAAAGUUUGAAGGUCCUGGGUGAAGUGGUUCGCGAGUAAAGUGCCUUCAUGCAAAAAGUUAACGUUGGCCCCUGUGACCUUGACCUUUGACCUGGUGACCCCAAAGUCAGUAGGGGUGGUGAACUCAAUAAGUACUAUCAGCAUGUGAAGUUUGAAGGUCCUGGGUGCAGUGGUCCGCGAGUAAAGUGCCUUCAUGCAAAAAGUUAACGUUGGCCCC